AAAUCCAAACCACAACCACCUUCCAUCCUCUUGAAUAUAUCUUCUUGCUCAAUUGCCCUUCACACCGCCCGGCCACGCUCUUAGGUCACGCCGCCCGCCUCGGUUUCUGCCUCUCUCUAGCACGGCGAAUUCAUCCCCGUCCCGCUCUUGAGUGUGAAGAUAUUGGAAUCCUCCAUUGAAACCCUGCCGGUCCUCUGCUCGAAGCGCCUAAUUCGUCUCCGUCCCGUCUGAUGGUUCGCUCCUCUCUCGAAAUUCCAGUCGGAGAAAACCUGCCGGUCGUCUGCUCGAAGCGAUGAAGCGUUUUGUGUAAAUGGCUGAACUUUUACUACUUCUCCCAGGAACUGCUCGGCGGUCAAGUGAUUCGCUAGUUGGACCUGUUUCCCUUUGGAAGUUGAUUGUUAGAAGGUUCAGUCUUUUACUCAAAUCCUCCAGGGGAACAAAAAGAGAUAGGCAUCUCAUAUUAUACACGAAGAACACGAUAUUUUAGAUGUUCUGGAACAUCUUCACGAUGCAUCCACAAUCUCAAAUGGCUUUAGAAAUUCGUAUGCCCUCCACAGAAAGCGCACUGCUGAAUGAUGUAGAUUAUAAUUUUGGUCCGUCUACUUCAGUGACUAGUGGUACUCAAAAAUCUGGGCAGAAAAGAACCCGCCAAUGGGCUGCUUGGACACGUCAAGAGCAGGAGAACUUUUUUAGUGCAUUACGACAAGUUGGCAAGAAUUUUGAGAAGAUUACCUGUCGUGUGCAGAGCAAGAAUAAAAACCAGGUUAGGCAUUAUUACUAUCGCCUAGUUAGACGAAUGAACAAGUUGCUCAGUCCUGGAUUUUGUCUUGAUGCAAAGAACUCCAAGGACACAAACGCUGCAAUGCUUAGAUGGUGGUCCCUACUUGAAAAAUAUAGUUGUACUCCUUCAAAGUUGCAUCGCAAACCUCGGAGAUUCAAGAUAUUUAUAGAAGCUUUGGAGAGCCAACUUCUCAAAGACCGAAAUAAAGCCAGAAGAAAACGCCCUUGCCAAGGAGAAAAUUGCUUAGAAACUUCGGCAACUUGGAGGUUUUCAGAACAUGAUUUUGUUGGGGUAAAAGCUGUUGUUGCAGAUGCUGAAAAUACCCCAAAAAUAGGAAUUAACAGAGGGCCUUCCAUGAAGCGUAAUACAAAUUCUAAUGUCAGCUUCAGCAAAGGGGUUUUCCCUGCCACUAAAGCUACUGGACAAAGGCAUAGAACUGGUCUUGUAGAAUCUGCAGCAUAUAAACGAUGGGAGAAGGCUGCAAUGGCUGGGGUUUCCUUGGUUGCUGAUGCAGCUGAGCAAUUAGAGCGUGUUACCAACUGCGAGAACAGCACUUCGACUCAGGAUAUGCAUAAUUUUAGUGGAGUUGGCUCUCAUCGGAUUGGAGAAACAGUCGUGCAGACACGGGAGAAGUUGAAGCUCCAAUUGUUUCCCGUCGAUGAGGAUACUCGGCAGAGAAUUGAGAAGGGUGCAAACAAUCCAUUCUUGGAACUUACAUUGAGUGCUCGGAAAAGAAUAUCUUCAGUACUUGAGCAUCUCAAUCGUAAAUGGGGCACGGAUACAAUAGGUUCUGCAGAGCUCUUACUUUUACCAUACAACAUUCAACAGGGUGACAUAGCCAGAUGCCAAAGAUGGACCAUAAAGGAUGCUGAUUCCACUGCUGCUGAUGUGCAUGCUGCCGUUGGAAAUCCUUCCGUUUUCCGACUAAGGUAUUGCUGGUUUUCUGGGCAUGAACCUGGAGCAAGAUUAUCUAAUUCAACUUCAGCUCCUGAUUCUGAUGACUAUUUUCACUCGGAAGAUAUCAUUAAAAGGUUCAUCCCUCCUGGUGCAUCAGAAACCACUCAUUUCUGUUGCACCUCCAAGCUUGUAGGAGAAUCUUGUAAUGGUUCUCCUUUACCCUCUGCUACAUCUAUUACUGAGAUGAGAGCUCAAAGUGAUACUCUAAAACUAAAAGAUGGUCUCCCAGAGUCAUCAGGAAAAUCACCUUCAUUGAAUGCAUAUAGAGCUAAAGAAGGUUCUGGAAACCAGGCAGAAGAUAUGUCUGAUCCAGCAGUAAGGUGCAGUUCAGAUCUCUUGGCUGGAGAGUGGGCCGAUAGUCUAACAAAUAUUAGCAUCGGGGAUCUAUUGUUAGAGACAUCAGAAGCUUCUUCUCAGCAAAAUUCUCUUUGCCUUCAGCAGACUUCUUUUAGCUGUGAUUCAUUUGAUGCUGCAGUUGCAGCCCAUAGUUAUUUCCCUCAGUUUUCAGGUUUGGGAACUCAGGCUCCAGUUGUUUCUAUCUGGAAUGCUGAAGAAACAUGUGAUGAGUUUUCCUUCAAAACAUCUCCAACCCUUGGGGAAAAGGGCUUCAAUCUCAGCACCAACGUCUCACCGAGAGUUUCUAGAGAUCCUGUUGAUAUGAAUUCGCCAGGAUUGGUGGAUCGUUAUGUUGAGGAUUUUAAGAAGUCUCGACACUCAAAUGACAAUCCUAGUGAUGAGCCUGAAUCUGAUAACCCUUCAGCCUUUUCCUGCAAACAGGAACCAGUUAAAGAUGUCUCUCUCACAGACUUGUAUUGGCCAGAUUCUUUAGGUUCUUUAGGGCAGCUGGACUUGGAUUUACCAUUUUCAAGAUACCCAUCGCAGGAUAUUUGCUUUUCUGAAAGAAGUAUCAGCCAAAGUAGCUUUAACGGCAUGAUGGCUGGUUGUCUAGAUUUAUUUCAGAGUGGUUCACGCUUAGGUACAGAAAAAAAGGAGAUAGUUGGUACAGUUGAGGAAGCUUCGGGCUUUGAUGAUGAGAAAAUGGCCUUAGAGGAUUGCUAACUGAUUUGUAUGUAUUUUAUCAUUUUACUGAGUUAAGCUCAGGUUUAGAUGCUGGAUCUAACUGAGGUUAGGAUGGAUGCGGCACUUGUAAUCUAUGGGUAAUGGACAGGAAAGCAAAGCUUGUAUAAGAAUUGAAGUUUUUAACCUGCUAGAUUCUAAUUGAGGUAAGCAUCUUAUAUUUGUUCUAAGUCAACAAUAUUUUGUGCUAUCAAUGGUGAUGGAAACAUGCCUUGGGUUCCUGUAGCAGCAACG